rnacentral:ribozyme from 14 species
GAAAAAAACGAAAACAAACACAAGAAGAAGAUCGGACUCUUUUUUUCUUAUUUGUAUCUUGUCUAUAUACUGUUAUAUAUCCUCCUCGCCUCUUCUUCCUCCU